UACGGAGGGAGCUAGCGUUAUUCGGAAUUACUGGGCGUAAAGCGCACGUAGGCGGCUCUGUAAGUUAGAGGUGAAAGCCUGGAGCUCAACUCCAGAAUUGCCUUUAAGACUGCAUCGCUUGAAUCCAGGAGAGGUGAGUGGAAUUCCGAGUGUAGAGGUGAAAUUCGUAGAUAUUCGGAAGAACACCAGUGGCGAAGGCGGCUCACUGGACUGGUAUUGACGCUGAGGUGCGAAAGCGUGGGGAGCAAACAGG
rnacentral:rRNA from 1 species